GGUCUAUUAAGCCUUAAUCUAAAACCUCUGGCGGCGGGAGGAACGGCAGCGGUGGAGCUGCGUAUCUCCGCGAGGCUCCCGUGCGCCUCGACCCGCAGCCUCCGCACGCGCCCCGCGCCGCCAAGAUGCCCAAGAGGAAGGUCAGCUCGGCCGAAGGGGCGGCGAAGGAGGAGCCCAAGAGGAGAUCGGAGAGGUUGUCGGCUAAACCUGUUCCAGCUAAAGUGGAAACGAAGCCAAAAAAGGCAGCGGGAAAGGAUAAAUCUUCGGACAAAAAAGUGCAAGCAAAAGGGAAAAGGGGAGCCAAGGGAAAACAGG